rnacentral:lncRNA from 1 species
GUUGCUUGUCUUUUUCGUAUUUAUAGUUAGUUUAGUGACCAUCAAAUUUUUGGCACAGUUGUCGGGGUCUAAAAUAUUAGGAACACUUGAUUUUUAUUAAUUUAGUCAUUUUUAUUUUUAUUAUAAUUUUUGUUUUUUUAGUUUAAUUUUUAAAUUCUAAUUUUUCUUUUAUUUGCUUCUAGCAAGUUCCUUUAGUGUAUGACUAGAAGAAACCCAUCGGGACCAUUGCUAUUUGAUAGUGAAAUUGAAAGUACAGCUCGUAGAAACCAUAGAGAU